AGCUUCAUGGGAGGAGCAUCUCCCCACUAUGACUGGAAGAGCCUGCUGUCAUUGGUGCUGACCCAGCCUGUGUCCUGGGGGCCAGUCCUGACCAUCACUCCACCCUGGCAGCUGGGGACUCUGACCCCUUGUCCUUGCCAACACCAGCCCAACGAGGAUUUCAUCACUUUGGACAUUUGGGUGCUCAGCUCAGCUGGAGAUGCAGGAAAACCUAUUGCUAAGGAAACUGAACAUUUUGUCCUUGCUGGCCCCUGAGCUCCAGCUCUUAUUGCUGCAGUGGAAAAAGCUGCACACGACUCAGCAUCUGCGCCAAAGGUCAGGGAUGCCACCAAAUGCAGCUCAUGGGACACCAGGAGAGCCCUGAAAACAUCUGGAUAACAUGAGCUUCCACGGGAGGGGACAGGGAAGAGGACACACACAAACUGAUGGAGCAAAA